AUCCUUUUGUAGUUCAUAAGCAUGAUGAUUGGGUGUUCACGCGUCUGUGUGAGAUGUGCCUCCCACGAACCUUGUUACGACGUCGGCACAUCACCCGUCUGACG